AAGCUUCAGCGAGUUGGUCGAGUGUUUUUUGCUGAAACAAAUCUCUCUAGCUCUUGUGUUUGCUUGAAUUUUUGUUUAGGUCGCCUUGGCUGUACAUUUGCAUCAUUUAGCGGACAACCAGAAGCAGAAAACGAUGAAGUCACCUGAAGAUCAACGACUGCCUGGAAGUGACUCUUAACUUCUGGCUGGCCAUUCUGAAUAGCUGCUGGACGGACGUUUGAUCUGACCAAUGAGCGCCUAGAGGCGGAGCCUGAGGCUACUGGCCCCGCCUACCGCCAGCGCUCACUCGGUUACACAGAGUUUCCUGGGUCGAGCUGCACAACCUGGAGAUGGCUGAGGGGCACUUCAUGCACCGAUGUAUUACCGCUCUGCUGGACAGCCAGUGGGAGGAGGCACUCGAGUGUCUGUGCUGCCUGCUGACCACCAUUGGCAGUUAGCUGGACUGCGUUAAAGCCAAGUGCCAUAUGGACAGGCACUCACAUCAAACGGAGCAGAUCCUGAAGGAGCGGAAGACCUCAUCCAGGAUCCAUUUUAUGCUAGAAGUUGUAAUAGACCUAAGAGAGGUGCCGACACCCCCCUGAUUGAGCUCCACCCAUCGUCUGUUGAGAACCACACCUCUGCAUUUGGCUACUUGCCUCUUUCCGCAUUCAUCGAGGCAACGCUGAAUGGAUCGACCUGUGGAACAUUAAAUAUGUCUCUCAUCUGCUCUUCCCCCUCCCAGAAUAACUGGGCCCCCAGGAGCAGUGACCAGGGGCCCAGAACCAUCAGCCAGGUCCACAAAGAUGGCGAGCUGGAGACCCAGCAGGAGAGGUCCAAGGAGAAGCAGCAGUUCCUAGCCAAGAAGAACAACCGGGACCACCAUGGUGUAAGAUUCUGGCUCUAGAGUGACAUCACUGAGGCAAUGAGACUAUAUAGCUCCAGUGCAGGGCUGCCCAACCCUGUUCCUGGAGAUCUACCGUCUUGUAGGUUUUCAAUCUGACCCUAACAAAGCAACACCUCACUCAACAGCAAGAGAUCUACUGUCCUGUAGGUUUUUAUUCCAACCCUGAUGAAGCACACCUCAUUCAACAGCUAGAGAUCUACCAUCCUGUAGGUUUUCAAUCCAACCCUAACAAAGCACUCCUCAGUCAACAGCUAAAGAUCUCUCACUAGAGCUGCUAAUUAGUGGAAUCAGGUGUGUAAAUUCGGGUUGAAAUGAAAACCUGGGCAGCCCUGGUCUGGAGUGAGAUCACUGAGGCAGGUUGGUGAGCCUACUCCUUUCUCCCCAGCAGGACCAGUUUGAAUAGGGACCAUUCACAACAGAGAGGUUGCUGCUGCUGUUGUUGCCGCCGCCCACACACACACACACAAACGUUUCUCUCUGCGACUCUUCAGCGUAUGUCUACAAAUCAAAUAAACAACGGAAAUUAACCCGAAGAGCCGGUUAAGAGUGCUGCCAAGCAGGGACGUUGCUUGACUUCGAAGCUCUGCUGAAACACAGGUCCCAUGGUCCAGUGCUCUCAUCCCCGAAAGUCACGUUGCCGCACCCGUAAAACGGCCUUGCAUUCCUUCACAGCCUCGCACUCACAAGCGCCCGUGGUUGACAGCUGACGCUUAGUUAUCUAACUGCUUGCUUGACAGGGACAGCGGUCG